AUGCUGAACCAGUAUGUUUCAAUCCUUCAAAUCCUGCAAAAGGUGACCCAAUAGGCUUCUUGUACCAUGUUGCAGAGUGAGCUGAGUACAGUGAGCAAAUGGCUGUAUUUGGGAAUGGAAAUAAUUACUUUUUGGAUUCGCAAGCUGCAGCCAUGAAUUAUUUCCUGCACUCCUCUUGUCAGAAGAUACUGUUUUCUUAUUUCCAGCCAUGAGACUCUUUGUGUAGAUAGUGCUGGCUUCCAUGGCUAGAAUGAAUACGGCACUAUAAAGCUCCUUACAGACUUGAGUUGAAUUGUCCAAAUUCUUUUUGACUGGUGUCCUGUAACGACAAUGGCUAGACUUUUAAUUAAAUGUAUAUAAAAAUCCCCACCAACCUAUUUCUAGUCACUAACCUUUAGUAGGAAAUACCACUUUCUUUCCAAGACUUUCAUUUGGCAGCCUCUUAAGUAUUUUACUUUGAUUAAUUAAAACAUGCUAGUGUUUUUGUGUAGCAAGUCAGUUGGUUUUGCAAAUUCCAUGCAGGGGUUUAAAACUUCCAGAUCACUUUCUAGGCCACUUGUGUGUGAGCAAGGCUUGAAAACGAGAGUUUUCCCUAUUGCUGGGAUUCCACAGUAAAUGUCAGUAUGAAUAGAAUUAGAAUUUUUAUAUAUCACCACCCCUCUCUUCAGCUGUACGUAGGAAGCAAAAUACAUGUGCUAGCUAGUGGUAAAAUGUCAUGGCUCUGUUGUAAGCACUUGUGGCUAUAGCCCAGAUGUGGGGGUGAUAUUUUGUCUGCUAGAGGUCAGUUUAGAAAAGGGCAUGGAGAAAGGAGGGGAAGGUAAAGGAUGUUCUGUGAGCUAGAAAUGACGCUAGAGUUCUGUCUGCACUGGAAAGCUGCUCUUUGAGCCAUGCUGGUGCAUUUGGAAAGCACAGUCACACUUACAAAUUAGGAAAAUUGGAAUGGAAAUGAUAUUUACACAGGUAGUGUGUCCCUGUGGGUAGAAGUCAUCUUCAUGCCUGAAAGUGCAAGUGUCAGAGCUCUGUUUUUACAGAUGAGGUUAAUAAAGGUUCCCGUAGCUGUGCAGGACCAUCGAAACGAUGGCAGAGGCAUGGACACCGAAAAACAGCAGAACCACUUCUGGUUUUUAUUAGAAGGCAGCACAGAGGUAAUUAACAGACAGCUAAUUCUCUCCCCCACCCACAGCAGGAAGUGCUCUUCACUUCUUGUCGCAUCUUUGAGAGAUGGCCCCAUCUAUCCAGGAGCAGUUGGGUUGCAGUGACGUCUUUCUGGUCCUGUGUGAAGGACAGAGGAGUUGUCACGGAGCUGAAGGCGGUGAUGAAAGCUUGCAUUAAACACGAGGGGACGUGCUGAAGCCUACGGUCUACGUAAAGCAGAUGAUAACGUUCUGCAUCUUCCUCAAAACCUCUAUUAAUAGGGAUAAUGGAAAGAUCAUCCACUAAAUGUUUCAUGAAACAAAAGCCUCCAUUCGCAGAGCAAACAUGCUAAAUGUGUAACAGUUUUAUUUUUGACUGGUGAUCCUAUAUUUUUAAGAGCAAAAUGAAGGGGUAGAAUAAAGUUUCCCACAGCUCUUGGUUUUCUUCUUUCCCCACACAGUGUCUGGUAGCAGUACUUGCCAAAUUAGUUUUCCAUCUUAAUUAUUCCUGACAUUUUCUCCAGGAUGCUAUGAUCUACUUGAGGGAUUUGCAGUUUAACAUGCUAGUCAUUUUUUAUUGCAUGGAAAUGUGAACAGAAUAAAUUGGCGUUGGCUAUCUUUGUUGUGAACUAUUUAAUUUUGGAUGAUUGCAUCAAAGUGCAGGAAAGUUUUAGCAAGUUAAUAAAGUUUAAAUUGAAUUCUCCUAUAAACACUGCACUUGAAGGAUGUCAGCGAGUGUGGUAGGUUGAGUCUGUUCUUAAUUGUGAUAGGCUGAUAAGGGAAAAGUUGUAUUCCAAGUAUUGAUUUUAAAAAAAAGAAGAUACCUUCUGUGAAAUGGAGAAAUCCAAAUUGUGUCAGGAGGUAAUCUGAAAGAGUUCCACAAGCUUUUUGCCCUCAACUCAGCCUUUUCUGCUCUUAACUAUAGUUAAAAUCUAUAAUAUGAGAUUAUGUUGCUAGAUAACACCUAUAUUUUUAGGGCAGACCCUGCAUAAAGGAUGCUUAGGGCCAUAAUAUCUAUUCUUAAAGAGUAUCUUAAAGAAUAAUGGCACAUCCAGUUUAGGGAGCUUGUGAUAUGUAAGAAAUAUUUAAGUUGGUAUUAAAUAUUUAAGUCUGUAGAUUGGAUUUUCUGUAGUCAUUUUUCAGAAAAAUUAAAAUGAUGCUAUUAAAAGUUGAUUAUUCCUAUAUGUUCCUAUAGUUAAGGAGUAAAUUAAAGUUUCAAAAAUUAACAGGUUUGGAUGGUAAUGAAGCAAAACUUUUUAUUCUGAUUUAAAAAAAUUCAGAGCAGUGGAAUGAUUGAAACUGGGCUCGUAAUUUGGCUUGUGGCACACUACCCCACACUUUGGGUUUUGGUAACCGGGAAUCUGUGCAUUAAAUAAUGCAGGACCUACUGCUGGAUGCUGGGACCUCGUUGUGUUUCGAUGCUGGGACCUGGUUGUGUUUCCUUCCAUGGAGAUCCUCCAUGCAGGUCUUUCCUUCUGUCUUUCCUUCAGAAGCCUGAUAUUUGAGACUGUUUUUCAUUAUUCCACCCCCCAAAAAAAAGAAAAUAAAACCCACGUUUAAAAAUAGCUUAUAUGAACUUUCCUCAGUAUUUUUUUCCAUGAUUUGCUGCCUUUAAUUAAUGCCUAUAGAAACAAUUUAAUUGGGAAAUGAUACCUCUUGCUUGAUGUAGUCAAGCAACAAAGUGCACAUGUUGGAGACCAGAUACAGAAGUUUUAUGGUUUGCUUAAAUGGAAGGGGGCUGAGGGGGAACCUAAAGCCUUCAGGAACAUUACAGUUGCAUCAUGCACAAAGAGUGUGCAAUUAAAUAAGCAAUUAGUUAUGGAUUGUUCACUCUGCUUGACUGUUGGAUAUUUGAGUAGCACGUUAACCUUGAAAUGACUGCUUUUAUAGCCCUUAUUGUUCGCCAAUAAAUUAAGUCUGCAUUAAAAAAAAAACACACCACUCUUCCUGGGCUUGAUGUUGGAAAGGAAUUUCACUGCUGUUUGCUGUGUGCUUGUUGUAUUGCAUCUGGGAGACUGAGGCAUCACAGCAGUGUCAGCUGGAUGGAAGAUGAUCUUCUCUGCCUAAAAUACUUCUGAAUAACAAUGGAAGGAGUUGGGGGGAAGGAAGAGACAAAGCCCUUUCCUUUAAAAAGUGGCAAAGUUUUGCAAGGAAAUUAAAGGUCAGUCAUUUUUCACCAGUCUCUGUAAGAGCACAGAACCUUCCUCUGAUCGUCCUGUGAGUCCAUGAUGACCUCCAGCACCUUUCAGUCUGCUCCCAGCACCAAGUGGUAGAAAGGCUUUAGUGUCACCCACCUAUUGCAGCAGGUAAGGAGAGAAAUAUGGCACAACACCAUUCAACACGAUCAGCUGGUGAAGUGCACUCACUUGAGCCGAAAUGUGGUACUUGCUUAUUCAGCAAAGGAUUUAGAUGUGCACUGAACCUGGUCAACUUCUGUGACUUUUCCAUGGUUGUAGCUGGCACCAUGUUGCUUGUGUAAAUUGGCAGUAACUGGAGGGUGUUGUUGGUGUAAAAUUAAUGUAAUUGGGUUUGAACUGAGCCAGCUUUUCUGACCAGUUUACAUAAUUCACCCUCUUUGCUUUGUCCAGCAGAAAAAGCUUUGCUCAGCUUCGGAUGUCUUGGCAUCCAAUUUUACUUCAGUCUUGUCGAACAAAGUAAUUCAUGUUUUUAUUUCUUGUUUUUAACUUCCUGUCAUUGACUGAUACAUUCCUGCCUGGUCUCCUUUCUAGUUCCCAUAGAAAUAAAGGCAAGACAGAGGGAGUUCAGAGAUGCUGGUUGCUGUCACAUAUACACACGUCUAUGCCCUGUUGCCUAAACCCAUUACUGCAUUACCUGGGUAGAGUAGUCUUUCUAUUUGACUGCACAACCUAAGCAAUCUGAGGUGAUUGCUAUUAAAUGCCUCCUUACAUUUCUCAAUACAAUCAAUCAUCAAAUAAAUUCCAGACGUAGUCAAACAAUCGGAAGUGAGCACAUCUGAAAGCAAUGAACUGUGCAGAACCAUGGAUACCACAAGAACCUGAAACCCCCCAGCACCUUCUGUGUGAGAUUGGUUCAUGAAAUUGAUGGAGACAGUCAGGUUUUAUAUCAUCUGCUAUUUGCCUUGGAGCUGACAUCCUGUCCUCUUCAGCAGUUGAAAUAUUUUUUGAUUAUUCUUUCUCUUUUUGCUGGGUGUGAUCCCAAGGGUGGCUGUCAUGCUUUUCUUUUUUUUUUCCUUUUGCAUUUUUUGUUGAUAGAAAAAGGAAACAAGACCAAAAACAUCUUGUUUUCUGAAGACUGCUAGUGUUUGAAGUGCUGAUAAAGUUAUACUCUUUAUUAUUGUGUUAUAUCAAAAGGAGAGGAAAGGGGAAAUGCUGAAAAAGGUUAGUCAAAAUAGAGAAGAGUGUUUUUUUUUUUUCCUGGUUUCACCUUUGUAUUCUUUUUUCUUAUAAUAACAUGCAACAGUGCAUUACACCAAGCCAUAAUAGCAGAGUCACUUAGCAGAAAGAAAAGCUGAAGAAAACGCCACCUUUAUUGUGAAAGAGUUCAUUUUCUCUCUCCUUUCCUAUGCUAAUAAAAGCAAGUCAUUUCUCAACAGACACUGCAUUGGCUUCAGGGAUCUGGUACUGGGGCAAAUACUGUGCUUGGCAGUGUUUAAAACCUAGGAUAAGCUCCUUAGCUGUUGCAUAGUGGGAAAGAGUUGUUUCUCCUAGGGAUUAACGAAAUGAUACUUGGUAUGUUAAGAGAUCUAGCCAUAGGGAUUAUGCUGAUCUGCAAUUGAAAUAUUCAGUAUGCUGUAGGGUUAGGAACAUUUAUGGCUAUAAGACACAUUAGGAAUCUUCCUGUUUUCAGCUCCCUAGGCUUGGUAGUUACAACAGGUGUCAGAUAUGAAAGAAAGAUCAGGUCUCUGAUUGCACUUAGCAAUUUCUGUACUCUAAUAGAGAGACAGAGAGCUAGGAAGGCAGAUGCCCCUGCACACCAUCAACUGAUCUCAUUACAAAUGCAGAAUGAAGUUUUCAUUGCUUAAAGGGGAAGAGCUGGUGUUUGAAUUCAAAAUAAAUCAGAAAUAUUAAUGUAUUCAAGAAAUGAGUUUAAUGAUGUAUUUAAAAACUAUUAAAUUAAUGUUUCUCAUUAGCGGCACAGCCUAAUCACACUUCGCAAGCAGGGGGAAGAAAGUAAAGCAAUAUCGUAAAAGAUCAAACAGUGAUUCAAAAUUAAUUAAUCCAGCAUUAUAUAAAUCAGGUAGCUUCAAUAAAAAUACUAGUUGAGGAUUCAGUUCUUAUGGGCAAAAUUAAAAAUAAAAAAAAAUGCCUUAAUUAGUGCUUUUUCAUUCAAUCCAGCUGACCUAUUUAUUUUUAAUUGAGCUACAGGGUGCUAAACAUUCAGUGAAAGUGAUAAUUGCAGUAGUAAACUUUAUAACGUUUCCCUUUGGACUUAGUACCUUGUUUUCUGCAGAAUACCUCAGAAUAGUGGAGAAAAUUGAUACCCUGCUGUUCUGAGAGUUGCUGUUCUCCGGAUGCUGACCUGCUUCGUGGUAUGGAAAUACCCUGUGGCUCUUGACACCGUAGUUUUGAACGUGCUAAGAUUUAUUUUGCAGGACAGUGGUAUGUGAACUAACUACCAAAAAAAAAAAAAAAAGAAAAAGAAAAACUAAAAAAAAGAUAUUAUUGGAUGUUGUUAUUAAAUUAGCUUUAAUACUUCGGAAAAUUAAGAAUAUGUUAUAUGUGACAACUUCUGUAACAUAUUACUUCUAUAUUUUCUACAUUAUGUUCAUGCCCAUAUACCAUCUUUACACUGAUCUUGUUUGUACUCCUAGAAGCAGACAAGGUGUCCUGAAACAGUUUUGCUCUUCUAGCUAAAUGAGGGAGGAGAACAGGAUCAGAGAGAGCAUGAAGAAAGGGCACACAUCAUUCCAUGGAGCUCAUCAUCUGCACUGAACUGCGUUUUCAUGGCCAGGGAUGUGAACUGGAGCUGAAUGAACUGGUGUGAAACUGCAGCAAGAAAUUGCAGUAUCAUUUUCAUAAGAUUGUAACCGUGGGCAACACAAAAUAUGAGGAUUGACUUCCUGAAUAUACAGAACAACCCCACUGCUGCUGCUGGAGUCACUGCUGUGUUACGGUCAGCAGGUGCCACUUCAGACACAGCUCUCGUGCUCCUGUUUGCUUCUUUUCCAGUUAACUCUGCAGCCCAGUCAGCCAGCCACAAACUGCUGGGUGGUCCAUCUGUUGAACUGACCAGAGGGCGCUGCUUAUUCAAUCGGACGUGUUGUCUGUGAUACCUGCUGUACUGAAUGCCAAACGAGGUGCCACAGCCAUCAGAAAGGAACAGAAGGAGUUGUUAAAGGUUCACUAAGCCACCCAGCCGUUUCCGUAGCAUGGGACACCUUUGCUGAUGUAAUGAUAUUCAUGAAAGGACCAAAGCACAAAGAAAGGGAAUCUAAUAAAUACCUGAACUUCAGAAGGCAGAAUAUCACAGCAGGUCAUUUUUCUAAAUUAUUUAAGCACAGUGUUUGCUAUGCGCUUCUACCAUUUCUCAGGAAAUCCACCGCAUGGAACCAAUAGAUGCUUUUGAGCUCAAAACAAGCAGAGAAUGAGGUAGCUCUUCAUUGCCUUACAGUGUUGUUUUGUGAUUCUGCCCAAUUCCUAUAAUGGGAUUCACAGAAAGGGUAAAAGGACGCUUAA